CCGAAGAGCGCCGCCGCUUACGCACGUCGAAUACGCACGCUCUCCGUUUCUAGGUCAUCGGCAGCAGCGUUUUUGAUGUCACGCUGCUCCGGGGAUCGUCUCCUCUCUCCCUCUCCCUCUCUCUAGAUCAGGUUCACCGACCAAGCCGCCAGAGCAAACCUGACCUUGUGGACGCAGAGGCCUUCUGACCUCAGGGGCCCGUGAGGCUCAGCAUCUGCUCCGGGGAUGUCUCCGUGAGGGACGGCUACCCAUAGAGCACAGGCCCAGAGAUGCUGAGAGUCGGGCUUGUGCGUCCCAGAGGUCAGCGGAAGGACCCGGCAGAUGUAUGCUAUAGUUCAGCACACGAGGCCCCAUCCGCCUCCGCUCUGUUAACUGUGAGUCGACCAGUGAGGAGGAAAAGGUGCAGGCGAAGGACUUCUGGGUCUGGAGGCGCAGCAUUUUCCUCCACUGCCCUUUCUCCUUUCGCGGUCCGCAGGAGCCUCACCUGUCUGUCAGACACCUCGUUGGUCAGUGCAGCGUCAUCGCGUCUCACACAGCAGAGUUUGCUGAGCGCCGAGGUUCCUUUGACAGUGAAUGGCAGCUGUCGCUGGUUGUCGCUCAUCAGCUUUUUGUCAAGCGUGAGUUGUCUCUGUGUAUCGUAGGGUCAAGCUGGACAGUUUUCAUGUUUCCGGUCAGUGGAAGUGUUCUUGUAUCUAAUAAUUGUGCAUAAAUAUCUGCUUCACCUAUAACAGUAUCAUGGUAUUUUCAUCUUCAGCUCAGUCACUGAAAGCUAUUAACUAUUUCAGCCUGUUUUAAAUGGCAGAAGAUCGUUUAUCUGUAUCUUAGAAACCUUCGACAAUUGGACACAUCGGUUGGAAAGAAAACACGUUAUUGUCAAUGUUAUGCAAUGGCACAGUAAGGCAGAGUAAAUGAGGGUGUCUCUGAAGCUUUUAUCGAGAGGAGACAUCUGUCAUACCAGCGGAAAGCUGUUUGUUAUUCUCCCCAGACUUCAAUCAUCUGAGAAAGUUUUUACAGAACAAGUUCACAAAAUGUGCCCUCUCCUAAACACACAAAUACAUACUUGGGCCACCUGCCUAGCCUAUUUACCAUCAAAGACCGCAUGCACGCACACGCACGCAC